UACAGAGGUCCCGAGCGUUGUUCGGAUUUAUUGGGCGUAAAGGGUGCGUAGGUGGCAAAGUAAGUUGGAUGUGAAAUCCUGGGGCUCAACCUCAGAAUUGCAUUCAAUACUGCUUAGCUAGAGAGCUGUAGAGGAGACUGGAAUUUACGGUGUAGCAGUGAAAUGCGUAGAUAUCGUAAGGAAGACCAGUGGCGAAGGCGAGGCUCUGGACAGCAACUGACGCUGAGGCACGAAGGCCAGGGGAGCAAACGGG
rnacentral:rRNA from 1 species